CCCCUCGCGCUGUCCCUCCCCUCGCGCUGUCCCUCCCCUCAGGAAAAGAGACUUCGACGUGAGGAAAACUUGAAGCGGAGGCUGGAAAACGAGAGGAAUUCUGAGGUGGUGCAAGUGAUCAGUAAUCCUCUGAAAAUCAAACGCUUGAAAAAGAAACAGCUGCGGAAGAUUGAGAAGCGGGACACGUUGAAGAUUUUGCAGAAGAACGAAGCCAGCAGGCGACAGAAGGGGACGAAGAGUACGGCGAAGUGAAGAAUGAACAGGAGCGUCGUUUGAGAUGGGGAUGGUGUUGGAGAGAUGGAAACGAGGGGAGUUGUGCGCGCACGCAGAGGGAGAGAGAGUGUUUUUCAGCUGGAACAGGAGCAAGUUACAAUAAUGGGAGAAAAUUUGCACGUUAGUGUUGUUAGGGACAGAGUGUUGCUCGAUGUUUUAGAUAGGGUGUGGGAUGGCUACUCUCUGUAGCUUGUUUCUAGUCUCUUUUCUUGUAAAGGGAUCAUCAGCUGUGUGAGUGGCUAUGUGCGUUCUCACACUCAGACACACUUCUACCAUAGUCCCAGGUUUUGAAUUGCUUUCCGUGGAGAUAUUAAAGUUUUAUUUUUCAAA